UUGAUGAAAAAUGACAGAAAUAGUUGUGACGUUUGAUUUAAAUAUCACAUAAUUAAGAAUAAACCGACAUUUAGUUAGUGAUAUGUGUAGACAAAUGCCAAAAAAUACUAAUUUCAAAAGAAAGAGAAAUUUUCAAAAACUUUCCACCCAAAUCUCCCUCUCAAAUCCCUAAAAAGAAAACCUAUUUUCACAGCUUCUCUUAGAACAAUUCAAGUUCAACUUUCCCCUCCCCAAUUUUGCUAUCCCAUCCGAAUCCCCCUGUCCCAACUAUGAAUCUCAAGAACUUUCAGGAAUAGUAGUACGAAAUGUACUCUCUUCUCCCUUAAUCCUUCUCUUUCUCUACUGCGCAUUGGAAUAACUCCAGGUUGACAGUUGACUACCUCAGACAAUCUUGUUGUCUCAAUUCAAUAGAGUAUCAAAUGGGUGGAAGCACGACAAAGCUGGAGCUAAAUGGAUGUAGCAGAAAAAGUGGAAGAAAAAGUUGAGGAAGUGAAGAAAUUUGUUGUUGCAAAAUUUGUUACAGUUCGCUUGAAUCCAGCCUAAUAGUAGCAUUCUAGCUUUGUUUAGAUGUAAGGACAUGCAGAUAUUCACAAAUACAUUGUUGUAAUUAGUUACAGAGAUCUUCUGUCUACUCAUUUUGUUACAGUUCAAAUUGUCUAUGUUGAAUGACUUGAUGUUUAUACCUUCAUGUAUAGCAACAAAUAAUUUUAGUUUUAUAUUUA